rnacentral:rRNA from 1 species
GACGAACGCUGGCGGCGUGCUUAACACAUGCAAGUCGAACGGAAAGGCCCUGCUUUUGUGGGGUGCUCGAGUGGCGAACGGGUGAGUAACACGUGAGUAACCUGCCCUUGACUUUGGGAUAACUUCAGGAAACUGGGGCUAAUACCGGAUAGGAGCUCCUGCUGCAUGGUGGGGGUUGGAAAGUUUCGGCGGUUGGGGAUGGGCUCGCGGCUUAUCAGCUUGUUGGUGGGGUAGUGGCUUACCAAGGCUUUGACGGGUAGCCGGCCUGAGAGGGUGACCGGCCACAUUGGGACUGAGAUACGGCCCAGACUCCUACGGGAGGCAGCAGUGGGGAAUAUUGCACAACGGGCGGAAGCCUGAUGCAGCAACGCCGCGUGCGGGAUGACGGCCUUCGGGUUGUAAACCGCUUUCGCCUGUGACGAAGCGUGAGUGACGGUAAUGGGUAAAGAAGCACCGGCUAACUACGUG